rnacentral:rRNA from 1 species
CCUACGGGCGGCAGCAGUGAGGAAUAUUGGUCAAUGGGCGCGAGCCUGAACCAGCCAAGUAGCGUGAAGGAUGACGGCCCUACGGGUUGUAAACUUCUUUUCUAAAGAAAUAAAGUGAGGCACGUGUUCCUUUUUGUAUGUACUUUAUGAAUAAGGAUCGGCAAACUCCGUGCCAGCAGCCGCGGUAAUACGGAGGAUCCGAGCGUUAUCCGGAUUUAUUGGGGUUAGAGGGAGCGUAGGCGGACUGUUAAGUCAGCGGUAAAAGCCCGGGGCUCAGCCCCGGCGAGCCGUUGAAACUGGCUGUCUUGAGAUGUCGAGAGGUAUGUGGAAUGCGUAGUGUAGCGGUGAAAUGCUUAGAUAUUGCGCAGAACUCCGAUUGCGAAGGCAGCAUACCGGCGGCGAUCUGACGCUGAGGCACGAAAGCGUGGGUAUCGAACAGGAUUAGAUACCCUAGUAGUC